rnacentral:rRNA from 1 species
UUGACAUCCAGAGAAUUUAGCAGAGAUGCUUUAGUGCCUUCGGGAACUCUGAGACAGGUGCUGCAUGGCUGUCGUCAGCUCGUGUUGUGAAAUGUUGGGUUAAGUCCGCAACGAGCGCAACCCUUAUCCUUUGUUGCCAGCACGUAAUGGUGGGAACUCAAAGGAGACUGCCGGUGAUAAACCGGAGGAAGGUGGGGAUGACGUCAAGUCAUCAUGGCCCUUACGAGUAGGGCUACACACGUGCUACAAUGGCGCAUACAAAGAGAAGCGACCUCGCGAGAGCAAGCGGACCUCAUAAAGUGCGUCGUAGUCCGGAUUGGAGUCUGCAACUCGACUCCAUGAAGUCGGAAUCGCUAGUAAUCGUAAAUCAGAAUGUUACGGUGAAUACGUUCCCGGGCCUUGUACACACCGCCCGUCACACCAUGGGAGUGGGUUGCAAAAGAAGUAGAUAGCUUAACCUUCGGGAGGGCGUUUACCACUUUGUGAUUCAUGACUGGGGUGAAGUCGUAACAAGGUAAGCGUAGACGU